AAGCUAAUUCUGUUCUUUAAGUCCCUGCACGUUGGCUGCACAGUUAGGGGGUUUUAACCAAAAUUCAAAACUCUGUAACAUUAUGGACACCCAUACUGCAAGUUAAAAGUAUCCUAUAAAUUCUAAUAAUUUUUAAUUAUUGAAUAAGCAUUUCCUUGUGGAACUUGAGAAGUUAUUGUUGCAGUUCCUCACUCAAGCAGCUGAAAGUAAAACUCUCUUCUUUCUGCUGCUGAGACAUCUUGAUGUGGUUAUGGUGUGUUUCAUUUUUUCCAGUACACAUUUUUUCCUCCCUAAAGGCACAAUGUUUUCCUCUGGAAACCAUGGUAUAAAGUUGGCAUCCUCAUUUCCUCUCUCUCUCUCUUUCCCCGCCUGUACAAUCUCCACCCUGACCGAACGUCUUCCCCUCCCCAGUCACAUGAAAAAAGGGAAAAAAACUAUGUGCAAGCAAAAGAAACUGCUGGAAGCCAACACAUCUGCUCUUUUUAACAAUUUCUUCUGAUAGCAACAAUUUCUGUAUCUGAUCUCAUCCCCCCAUCCCCAUGUGCAAGACCUGCAGACGAACCAGAAGUUUUGCCAUCCCAGAAGUGUCUUUAGUCAUGCUGACAUUGGAGGGUGGUCAGUGACACCACUCCAAAGAAGUGCAGUGGCUACACUGGUUGUGUCACCCCAGGUGAUGAAUUCAAGUCAUCCUUGUUCUUCUCACUGAAGCAAACUUGUCAGACAAAAACCAGUUGCUCCUCCUAAUUCCAUCAAAGACUAUAAAAUAAGCCCAACCCAUGCAGACUAAUACACUAAAUCCAUGUUAACAACUUCCUUUGGGUAGUAAUAGUACUCUGGUCAGAGAAGUAGAGACGUAACAAGUGAAUGACAUCACAAGAAAAAAUGAGUCUCUGCCUGGUGCUCACACAACAUUGGCAACAAAUGAGAACAGAAAUGGAACACAAGAUAAAGAGCACUACUUUCUCCACUCCAAUACCUACAUUUCUUCAUCAUAACUUCAAGGAACUCCAAGAGGGCAUUACAGUUCUUGGCAGCAAGCUGACGGAGAAGCUCACGGAACAAGAAGAAGAUCAGGCAUCCUUCUUCUUGUAAAUAUCUCUUCUGUAUCGCGACAUUAAAAGUGGACACAGAAAAAUAAAAUGGCUGCUUUCGUUGUUGAAAACUUCCGCUUCCUCUCACUCUUCUUCAAAAGUAAAGAUGUGAUGAUUUUCAAUGGCUUGGUGGCCCUGGGCACUGUUGGGAGUCAGGAGCUUUUCUCCGUGGUUGCUUUCCAUUGUCCAUGCUCCCCAGCUAGGAACUACAUCUAUGGUUUGGCUGCCAUUGGUGUACCUGCCCUGGCCUUGUUUGUCAUUGGCAUCAUUUGGAACAAUCAUACCUGGAACCUGGUGUCUGAGUGCCACAAACGAGGAACAAAGAACUUUUCAGCAGCUGCCAACUUUUUGAUCUUUGGCUCUGUUAUGGGACGGGCUGCAGUGGCUCCUGUCACCUGGUCAGUGAUAUCACUGCUCCGUGGAGAGGCCUAUGUCUGUGCCUUGAGUGAAUUCAUAGAUCCCGCCUCCCUGAGUAACUUUCCAGCUGGCUAUGGAGCAGAUACCAUGGCCAGGUUCCCUUGUAAUGAUCUGCCGGUCAAUGUGACACAUUUCAAGGAUGAAGUAAUACGGCGAUUAAAAUAUGAGUCUCAGCUGAUUGGAUGGAUGCUCAUCGGUGCGGUUGCAGUUCUCGUGUUCAUCACCAAGUGCCUGAAACACUGUUGCUCACCUCUCAGCUACCGCCAGGAAGCUUACUGGAACCAGUACCGCUCCAAUGAAGCCAAGCUCUUCCAGCGCACUGCGGAGAUACAUUCCAAGAUGGUGGCUGCCAACAAUGUCCAGCAUUUCUUUGGUUUUGUUUGUUUAGACAAAGAGGAGCAGGAGUUGGUGAAGGAGUUUGCUGUGACAAACAUACAGCCCAGGUCACAGUGGGACGAUGUCACUGGAGUCUAUAUCUAUCGAGAGAAUAAUGGUUUCCCUCUCUACAGUCGUCUCCAUAAAUGGGCCAAAAAGAUGAUGGGAAACAAUUUAGGUCCCGACAGCCAGGAAACAGCCUUCCUAGCUACCUAAGAUAACAGGCUGCAAUGUGAUAACUGUAUACACUUCGUUGGAAGUACCACUGAACUUCAAAGGACUUUUUUCUAAGUAGGCAUGCAUAAAACUGUGCUAGCACUUAUAUAUUCAUGCUGUAUGUUAUGUUCAUUUUAUCUAUGGACCCAGCUCUUUUGGCUCAAGAACUUGAUCUUAUGUCAUAAUGGAUUAUAACUUAGACAAAGGCAUUGGAGGAAGAAGAAAGACUGUCUGGGAACUCCCUUCUAAAAUAGGACCAGAGGGCUGUCCUGACAGAAACAACUAUCUGUUGCUGCAGCAGAGAAAACAAAGAACCUAAAGAAAUCAGAUACAUAUCACCCAUCUGCAAAGAAUGAAUGCAGCACCAGAGGGAGCUGGCAGCUCAGAGAAGAUUGACCAUAAGCUCCUGCCUAUCAAGGUGAGUGGGAGGAACCAUCUACUACAAGGAUAUCCUCCCACUCUCUAGGAAAAGACACAUUUUAAAUGACUACCAACAUUCAUGCCAGUCUCCCACUGGCUUUUGGAAUAAUGUUGUGCCAAUUCACAUGGAUAAUUAUAAAACCACUCCGUUUCUUUUGGCAACAGAGUAUUAGUCACACAUUAUAUAUAUAUUAUACCAUAUACCCAAGAUUUUGCUUUUAGUGAUUUCCCUUCAGGUUACCAUCCCCCCCCAAGGGUGUCAUAUAUCAAAGUUGUGCCUGCUUUCCCCUUACUAUUUACAUACUAUAAAUCAGAAUUGACUUGACAGAACAUCAUCAUCAUCAUAAUGUAUGAUCGGGGAGAACCUGUGCCUUUCCUGAUGUUGUGGACCUCUAAUUCUCAGCAAAUUAAGCCAGCAAGGCCAGGAGGGAUCUUGGGAACUAUAGUUUAAAUCUAGAGUUCUGCAGCACUGAUGUAAUUGGUUAGAAAAGAUUCCAGCUCCCACAUGGAUCAGAUGAACCGAUUAUAUCAGUUCUGUGUAAUCUGUAGAAUAUACUCUUACUAGUGCAAAUCUUUUUGCAGGAAUUUUAGUAGAGACUAGAUGUAGAACAGCACUAGCAUAUAAAAAUAACUUCAUAAGAAGAGCUUAACUUUUAAAAAAAUCCACAAAGCUAAGGAAUUCUGUCAAGUUCAGAUUUAGAAUAGAAAUUGUAUAACACUAUUUUUUCCAUUGGAAGAAAAUCAUUUGCUUUGAGUUAACGACAGAAUUAGGAAUACAUUCUCACUUAUUACAGCACAUAGGUAAUAGG